rnacentral:rRNA from 1 species
AUGAACGCUGGCGGCGUGCCUAAUACAUGCAAGUCGAGCGAACAGAUAAGGAGCUUGCUCCUUUGACGUUAGCGGCGGACGGGUGAGUAACACGUGGGUAACCUACCUAUAAGACUGGGAUAACUUCGGGAAACCGGAGCUAAUACCGGAUAAUAUUUCGAACCGCAUGGUUCGAUAGUGAAAGAUGGUUUUGCUAUCACUUAUAGAUGGACCCGCGCCGCAUUAGCUAGUUGGUAAGGUAACGGCUUACCAAGGCGACGAUACGUAGCCGACCUGAGAGGGUGAUCGGCCACACUGGAACUGAGACACGGUCCAGACUCCUACGGGAGGCAGCAGUAGGGAAUCUUCCGCAAAGGGCGAAAGCCUGACGGAGCAACGCCGCGUGAGUGAUGAAGGUCUUCGGAUCGUAAAACUCUGUUAUUAGGGAAGAACAUACGUGUAAGUAACUGUGCACGUCUUGACGGUACCUAAUCAGAAAGCCACGGCUAACUACGUG